ACUGGCUAAAGCUAAAUGCUUUAAACUAAAAGUUUACUCACUGUCCUGAUGAUUGGUGAUCUGAGUGAGUUCCUGCCCACAGGUGAAGGAGACCUGGGCGGUGCCCUGUGACAUAAGUGACCCCUCGGUUCCAAUUGGCUUCAUCCAGCAGCGGAGAACAUCAGAUCUCCUGCUCACACACAUCCAGCAGCGGAGAACAUCAGAUCUCCUGCUCACACACCUCCAGCAGCAGCUUGUGACACCAUGAAGCUCGUCUCAGUCUUCUCCAGCAUGAAGCUCCUGAUCACUGCACUGUGUGUGGUCAUGACCAUCCUAACUUCUCAGUCAUCAGCACAGACAGAUCCCAACUCCACCUCCACCUUCAACUCCAUCACCAACUCCACCUCCAGCCCCACCUCCACCUCCAGCCCCACCUCCACCUCCAGCCCCACCACA